rnacentral:rRNA from 1 species
AUUAUUGGUCAAUGGGGGCAACCCUGAUCCAGCCAUGCCGCGUGUGUGAAGAUGGUCUUAGGAUUGUAAAGAACUUUUAGUUGGGAGGAAGGGCUUUAGGUUAAUACUCUGAAGUUUUGACGUUACGAACUGAUUAUGUACCGGCGCACUCUGUUGUAGCAGCCGCGGUAAUACAGAGUGUGCAAGCGUGAAUCGGAAUUACUGGGCGUAAAGCGCGCGUAGGUGGUUCAGUAAGAUGGGUGUGAAAUCCCCGGGCUUAACCUGGGAACUGCUUUCAUAACUGCUGAGCUAGAGUACGGUAGAGGGUAGUGGAAUUUCCUGUGUAGCGGUGAAAUGCGUAGAUAUAGGAAGGAACACCAGUGGCGAAGGCGACUACCUGGACUGAUACUGACACUGAGGUGCGAAAGCGUGGGGAGCAAAC